GGGCGUGUAGCUCAGUUGGUCAGAGCAGCCGACUCAUAAUCGGUACGACCCAGGUUCGAGUCCUGGCACGCCCA
rnacentral:tRNA from 1 species